CUUUAGCCCCGGUCCUCCGCCUCCUGACGCAACAAGCAGCUUAUAAUCAGCCGGCCAGUAAUUAUCAAGGGGAAGCGGCCAUUUCUUCACUGCUGCCCUGAAGGCUUGGUAGGAAACUAGCAUGUAGGCUUUUUUUUUUUUUUUUUUGCAGCUGAGAACUUUAAUGACUUGGGUGGAGGCGCUGAGAUGGUCCGACAGUGGGACGGCGAGGCACCACUUAGCGGCUGCCUCUAAUGGCCCGGACGCCUCCAUCCCUCUCCGCUGCCAAAAGGCUCCGGCUCCGUCAUCCCUCAUGUGGUCGCUCUCUCUCUCUCUAUCAACACACCACACAGGCGGGCGGCGAUGAAAGGAUGAGAAAGAGGGGUGAAAGGUUAAGUGGAGCCGCACACAUCCGGAAGCGCAGCGAAACUAAGCGAGUGCUUAAAAAACCUGCACGUAAGCCCAACAACAAGCUGCACUGUUGCCAUUUUCUGCAAAUCUCCAUUUUCUUUCUCUUUUUCCUUUCCAGGGAAUCUUUGAAGAAGUGAACUCUGCCUCAGCAAGAUGUCGGAUAUUAUUUUGUUCCACAGAAUCCAGCGCAGCCGCAUCACACGGCGACGCACUCAGAGACGAGCGCGGCCCGGGACGAGCGGUUGAGCAUUUACAACAGCGGCUAAUUAGGAUUCCUCUUGCAGAGGCAGGUUGCACACCGCCAGCCGGCGGGAGACUCCCACUUGCAGAUGGUGGGAGAAAGACUGCGGUGAAGAGAUAAUCAAAAUCCCUACGUCGCCCCCGAAUGGCCUUUACAUGUUAAAGUUCAAGACGCGAUGCAUUUUUAAUUAACCCGGCUCUCACUUACUCAGCGUAAGCAAUUGUAAAGUAAUGGAGAGAUUUAUCUCUCCUUCACACGUCUCCUCUGCACCGGUGUGAGGAACAGCUUGAAGGGAUGCAUCCACGAGGCCUCUCCACUGUGUGCUCCUGCAUGUGCGUGUGUGUGUGCAUGGAUACUAAAUCCGUACCUGGGUAGUUGAUUCUACAGCGCUACGUUCCCCGGUGUGCCUGCAAUGCUUGAAAUCAAAGUUUCCUCUAAUUAUUGUUUUUCUUUUUACACUGAUGUGAAGUAAAAAAUUCCCUUAGAUUAAGAAAAGUCACACCGGAGAGCUCUCUGCUCGAAGCGCGGCGGGGAGAAGCACGCUGUGUGAGGUUAAUAAUAGAAUAUAUAUAAAUAUAAUAACAUCCAUAUGGGCGCUGCUCUUGUUUGCGGCUCGCGUGUUGGAAAUAAUUAGCGGCAUUCGACUAAUGAGCUCGUUAGCGGAUCCUUUCCGCUCCUGAAUACUUGAUCUUCAAUAUUUUGUAAUCAAUGGUGGUUUGUGUGUGUUGACUUUGUUUAUGUUGAUGCUUAAAUAACAAUGAGAAAUCUUGAAAAAGUUCACAUCCGGUCCAGAGAGUAGAGUUGAUGUGUUUCUUGUUCUUUAAAGGAAUUAUCAUAAUAAUUGUCUUAUUAAGUCAGCGUGGCAACAUGAUGUCACGUCUGAAACAAUCACAGGACUUUGUUCUUAUUAAGAAACAGCACAUCUUAAAACAGUGAUUUAGAAAUGUUUUUAUAAAUUGAACAAAUUAAUUAGUGAGAGUAAAAACGCAAACUCAUAACUGGGUUCUUUUCCUCUAAUGUGAAAGAUUGUGCGAUAGUGUCUUUUUGAUUAAGUGUCAUUGGUGGCAGCGGUGCAGAGAAAGAAGCAUUGUAUUGAGAAUCAGUAUUUCUUAUUAAACUGUGCUCACUGGAUGGUGAUUUUCAUUUAGACUCGUGGAAUCAUCACAUUACCAUUUGCAUGCUUUUUGCCUGUCGAGAUCAACAGCACUGCGUUCGUUUAAAAGCUUUACGAUGUCGACCUCCUUCCAAAACUGAAAUAAUCAAAGAAUCAACUUUUCCUUUCAAAGAGUAAUCUAGAUGAUAUUGCGUUCCAUCCACCUUUUACAGUCAGACUCAAAACAUCUGGUUUUUCUCCCCAAAAAGCUUAUUUUAUUGCUGAAACAUGAUUUGCAUGUUACACAAGUUUUCACUUGGCUCUAUAUAAGUAAUGAUCUAAUGUUCGGUAUAGUGAUGAAACACACCUGCAGAUUGAAAAGUGUCCUUAGAGGCAAUAAACACAUGUGUCUUCUUUAUAUACA